rnacentral:SRP_RNA from 2 species
GGCCUGGUCCUGCGCGACCUGGUUCCGUGAACCCUGUCAGGUCCGGAAGGAAGCAGCAGUAAGCGGGGUGCCGGGGGCGCCGCAGCCCACCGGGCCUGA